UUGUGGAGGAGGACGCCGAAGGUGGGGCUAAUGACUGGGGUGAAGUCGUAACAAGGUAGCCGUACCGGAAGGUGCGGCUGGAUCACCUCCUAACAGGGAGACAACAAAAUGUUUAAUAUUAUUUUGUCACCUUAGGUCGAUCGGUAUCUCACGUUCUUAAAUUAAUUAAGAAUUUCAUUUUCUAAGUUUUUCUAGGUCACACCCAUUAUUUUUCCUGGGCCAUUAGCUCAGGUGGUUAGAGCGCACCCCUGAUAAGGGUGAGGUCCCUGGUUCAAGUCCAGGAUGGCCCAUAUCUCUAUGUUGGGGGUAUAGCUCAGUUGGUAGAGCGCCUGCUUUGCAAGCAGGAUGUCAGCGGUUCGAGUCCGCUUACCUCCACUGAUUACCACCUCUUCCAUAAUUUGUAGAAAGGAAAGGUUUUGAGUUGUGAUCAAUUUCUGAACGAAUCUAGCUUCCUAAUGAAUUCAUUAAGAUGCUGGACUCAUUGAAUUAAUUUCAUUGAUCUCAGAGAACCUUGACAACUGCAUAGAUUUUUUUUGAAGACAAUAAGCAUCUUUAAUGAUGCAGAUUUAUUAUUUGUGCGAAUGCAUUAAUAACAAUUCUAUUAAGCUGAUGCUUCAAUAUUGAAGUUAUUGGUCAAGCUACAA
rnacentral:misc_RNA from 1 species